rnacentral:sRNA from 1 species
GAGGAUAUUUUUCCAAAAUCCUAGACUAUAGAUCUAAUCUUAUACUAUUUUAGAUGUAGUCUAGAUAUAGAUCUAGCGAAUAGAGUUUAGAUUUAAGAUCUCGAUCUAUACUGGUUAUAGAUUUAUAAUAGAGAAAUGAAAUUUACAUACCAGUUUUCCAACUUACUUGGAUCUGUGUAUAAGAAGGGUAACAUAGUCUUCACACCAGAUGGAAACAGUGUCGUCAGCCCUGUGGGAAACAGAAUAUCUGUUUUUGAUCUGAAAAACAACAAAUCCAGAACUUUGCCGAUAGAGACCAGAGUGAAUAUCACCUGCACAGCACUGU